rnacentral:rRNA from 1 species
AGUAAUGUUGCGAUGAUCUGCUCUAGUUGUGUAAGAUAACCGCGGAAACCUGUGGCUAAGAGACUAGAAUGAGACGCAACCCUAUCAGUUUGUUGGUAGUGUAACGGACUACCAAGACUAUGACGGGUGACGGGAAAUCAGUGUUUGAUUCCGGAGAGGGAGCCUGAGAGAUGGCUCCCACGUCCAAGGAUGGCAGCAGGCGCGAAAAUUGUCCACUCUUUGUUGAGGAGACAGUUAUGAGGCGUGAUUGUAAGAGCGAAGAGUAAACAUCUUUGUGUAAUGCAACUAGAGGGCAAGUUUUGGUGCCAGCAGCCGCGGUAACUCCAACUCUAGAAGUGCCUAUUGUGGAUGCUGCAGUUAAAAAGUCCGUAGUCGUUGAUGCAAUUAAAAGGUGUAGAUCAAGUGCACCAAGUUUGUUAGUUGUGGCGGAGCGGACAGGGAGCAUGGUAUAGGUUGGCGAAGAAUGAAAUCUCAAGACCCAACCUGGACCAACUGAGGCGAAAGCGGUGCUCUUGUACGCGUCUGUGGAUCAAGGACGAAGGCUAGAGGAUCGAAAGUGAUUAGACACCGCUGUAGUUCUAGCAGUAAACUAUGCCGACAUUCUCUGUUGUUGAGACGGGGAGGGGAGAAAUCUUAGUUUUCGGGCUCUGGGGAUAGUACGCUUGCAAGAGUGAAACUUAAAGCGAAAUUGACGGAAGAUCACCACAAGGAGUGGAUUGUACUGCUUAAUUUGACUCAACACGGGAAAACUUACCAGGGCCAAGUCUCUCGUAGAUUGGCGACAUGAGAGGGGCAAGAGUGGUGCAUGGCCGUUGGAAAUUGAUGGGAUGACCUUUAGCUUAAGUGCUGUAACCAGUGAGAUCUUCUAGACAGGUGUCUUACUGACACAGGAAGGAGAAGGCUAUAACAGGUCCGUGAUGCCCUCAGAUGCCCUGGGCCGCAAGUGCAAUACAAUAUCCGUUUGAGCGACAUAAAUAUGCUUACGGAUGAGUAGGAUUAGCUCUUGUAAAUGAGCUAUGAAUGAGGAAUUCCUAGUAACUGUGUCUCAUCAAGGCACAGUGAAUGCGUCCCUGUUCUUUGUACACACCGCCCGUCACUAUUGCGGAUG